rnacentral:rRNA from 1 species
GAUGAACGCUGGCGGCGUGCUUAACACAUGCAAGUCGAGCGAGAAGUUUUGAAAAGAUUCUUCGGAUGAAAUUUAAAAUGGAAGGCGGCGGACGGGUGAGUAACGCGUAGGCAACCUGCCCCAUACAAAGGGAUAGCAUUUGGAAACGAAUAUUAAUACCUUAUGAAACUUAACUAGUGCAUGCUAGGUAGGUCAAAGAUUUAUCGGUAUGGGAUGGGCCUGCGUCUGAUUAGCUAGUUGGUGAGGUAACGGCUCACCAAGGCGACGAUCAGUAGCCGACCUGAGAGGGUGAACGGCCACAUUGGAACUGAGACACGGUCCAAACUCCUACGGGAGGCAGCAGUGGGGAAUAUUGCACAAUGGGGGAAACCCUGAUGCAGCAACGCCUCGUGAACGAUGAAGGCCUUUGGGUCGUAAAGUUCUGUUCUAGGUGAUGAAAACUGACAGUAACCUAGGAGAAAGCCCCGGCUAACUCCGUG